UACGUAGGGUGCAAGCGUUGUCCGGAAUUAUUGGGCGUAAAGAGCUCGUAGGCGGUUUGCCGCGUCUGCUGUGAAAACUCGGGGCUUAACCCCGGGCCUGCAGUGGGUACGGGCAGACUAGAGUGCGGUAGGGGAGACUGGAAUUCCCGGUGUAGUGGUGGAAUGCGUAGAUAUCGGGAGGAACACCAGUGGCGAAGGCGGUUGCCUGGAGCUUUGCUGACGCUGAGGCGCGAAAGCGUGGGGAGCGAGUCCGG
rnacentral:rRNA from 1 species